rnacentral:pre_miRNA from 1 species
UGAAAUUAGUGGAGUAGUGGUCUCUACACUUUUUGAAAAUUUUUGGAAAUACAAAAAAAAAAAAUGAAAAACAAAAAUUUCAGGUGAGAUUCAACUCCUCCAUCUUAUUUCA